rnacentral:rRNA from 1 species
CCUACGGGAGGCAGCAGUGGGGGAUAUUGCACAAUGGGGGGAACCCUGAUGCAGCGACGCCGCGUGGGUGAAGGAGCGUUUCGGCGCGUAAAGCCCUAUCGGCAGGGAAGAAGAUGACGGUACCUGACCAAGAAGCCCCGGCUAACUACGUGCCAGCAGCCGCGGUAAAACGCCGGGGGCCAGCGUUAUCCGGAUUUACGGGGUGUAAAGGGGGCGCAGACGGCAAUGCAAGCCAGGAGUGAAAGCCCGGGGGCCAACCCCGGGUCUGCCCUUGGAACUGCGUGGCUGGAGUACAGGAGGGGCAGGCGGAAUGCGUAGUGUAGCGGUGAAAUGCGUAGAUAUUAGGAGGAACUCCGGUGGCGAAGGCGGCCUGCUGGACUGUGACUGACGUUGAGGCCCGAAGGCGUGGGGAGCGAACAGGAUUAGAUACCCGAGUAGUC